rnacentral:rRNA from 1 species
GUUGAACGCUGGCGGCAGGCCUAACACAUGCAAGUCGAACGAGUGGCGGACGGGUGAGUAAUGUCUGAAAAACUGCCUGAUGGAGGGGGAUAACUAGUGGAAACGGUAGCUAAUACCGCAUACGCUCGUAUGGGCCCAGAUGGGAUUAGCUAGUAGGUGGGGUAAAGGCACACCAAGGGGAAGAUCCCUAGCUGGUCUGAGAGGAUGACCAGCCACACUGGAACUGAGACACGGUCCAGACUCCUACGGUAGGCAGCAGUAGGGAAUAUUGCACAAUGGGCGCAAGCCUGAUGCAGCCAUGCCGCGGGUAUGAAGAAGGCCUUCGGGUUGUAAAGUACUUUCAGCGGGGAGGCGUUACCCGCAGAAGAAGCACCGGCUAACUCCGUGCCAGCAGCCGCGGUAAUAC